UCAGGCGGCCCAGUGUUUCUCAUCCCGUCUUCUCAACACGUCGUCUUUUAAACGUGGUCCCUGACAAACAAGGCGGGAAAAAAUAGCAGCUGUUGUAAUGCGCUUACUGUUUGUUUAUUGUGGCUAUUCUUCAUCUUGUAGCGAGCCAGACUGUUAACACGGUACAAAUGAGACCCUAAAACAACGCGUUUAAACACAACGUGACUACGAAUCCGUCAUUUGAAGUUUAAAAAGAAGAACCAACUAAAUCUUGCAGAGCUUUUGGGGGGACAUUCGGGGAAGAUACUCAUUCGAGAAAGAUGUAGGCUGUGGGAAGCGUGUGGAGACCUGUUCAGCUCCGGCGAAGCCGCAUCAGACAAACACGAGUCGGUCGAAAAAAAAUCCUGCACAGAUAUGUCCAUAACCUGCGGGGGAACGCGACUGUCCGGACUGGCGCAUCGGUUGCAUAUCAUUAUCCCCUUCCCUGGAGCAGUAGGACUGCCCAGAGACGCCUGACAGGUCAUUAAGAAAAGCGUCCGACUCUCCGUCCUCAGCGCCCAAUCUGCCACGACCGAGGCCACGAACGGAAGCGUCCUCGUCGCUCUGUGCGCCACUGUCCUCCCCGACGCUCGUCUGGC